AUUGAACGCUGGCGGCAUGCUUUACACAUGCAAGUCGAACGGUAACAGGCCUUCGGGUGCUGACGAGUGGCGAACGGGUGAGUAAUGCAUCGGAACGUACCCAGAGGUGGGGGAUAACGCAGCGAAAGCUGUGCUAAUACCGCAUGUGAUCUGAGGAUGAAAGCGGGGGACCGAGCAGCAAUGUUUGGCCUCGCGCCUUUGGAGCGGCCGAUGUCGGAUUAGCUAGUUGGUGGGGUAAAGGCCUACCAAGGCGACGAUCCGUAGCUGGUCUGAGAGGACGACCAGCCACACUGGGACUGAGACACGGCCCAGACUCCUACGGGAGGCAGCAGUGGGGAAUUUUGGACAAUGGGCGCAAGCCUGAUCUAGCAAUGCCGCGUGCGGGAAGAAGGCCUUCGGGUUGUAAACCGCUUUUGGCAGGAACGAAACGGUGUCCGCUAAUACCGGGCGCUAAUGACGGUACCUGCAGAAUAAGCACCGGCUAACUACGUG
rnacentral:rRNA from 1 species